rnacentral:lncRNA from 1 species
CUCCCGCUGCCAGGUCCUACCCUCGGCGCUUCUAAAUGGUGUGGAAAAGGCAACUUCCAGUCCCAGGUGCUGCGCCCCCCCCCCCCCCCCCGCCUGCAUUUCCCUUUCAGCUCCACCUCGAGCACUGAAACGUUCGUAAAGAUUAACACGCUUAUGAGGGGGGCACAUGGUCUGCAUUAGCCCGCUGAAAUGUGCAUGUUAUUAACACAACUCCUGUUGACAAAGCCACAGGUAUUAACACUAUAAAGCAUCUUGACAGCCGGACCGAGGAGGGGGGACGCGCAGAGGGUGCGAGCAACACUUUUGUGAGCUUUUAAUUGCUUUCUGAGUUGUUCCUGUACGUUUCUCUCCCCUAGCAGACGCUGCUGGUUGAGGAGAUGGCCUUGGAGGAAGAGCUACGCAGAGCGAGUUCUGCGAGGCACCAUUAUCUUCCCAGCCCUGGCACAAAAAAGCGCGUUGCGCCGGAGCGGGGAACGGCGGCGACGCUGCAGCUGGAGAUGGGCCCAGCGGCAAGCCUGGAUCCGAACCGCCCGCGAGCCUGACAGGCGGGCUCUGCAUUUUUUGGCUAUGCACCCUGUCUAGAAAAGGCCAAGCCCCUGGCUCCGAGCACUCCCCAAACUUUGGGCAGCGCGAAGAGCCACGUCUGAGCUCGCCGGGUCCGGCCAGCCCUCGGCGCGGCAGGACGGGCAGGGCUCUGCCUCCUCCCCUGCUGAGCUCCUGUCCCAGCAGCACAGGUGUCCUGCUGCCUGCCGAGCCCUCCGGGACCCUCGCCAUCAAAUCCUGCUGCAGCAAAAGCCCUGUUUCUGCCCCAGGUAGCUCCGUCUGUCCUGGUGUGCCCAGUCCGUGUGUCCUGCUCCGGGCAUCCCCCUCUUCCCUGCCCCCCCACGCCCUAAAGUUUUGUCUGUGGCACAGGCUGAGGCUGUGCCUGUCCGGGGGGCUCACGCUGCGGGGAGGAAAGCUUUGCCCUUCCUACAGGGCAUUGAGUUUGGAGCCGGGCAGGUUAGGGGGAAGGUUUGGGGCCAUGGGGUUCAGGAGAUG